AGAAGCGCAUACGGUGGAUGCCUUGGCAGUCAGAGGCGAUGAAAGACGUGGUAGCCUGCGAAAAGCUUCGGGGAGUCGGCAAACAGACUUUGAUCCGGAGAUGUCUGAAUGGGGGAACCCAGCCAUCAUAAGAUGGUUACCUUACACUGAAUACAUAGGUGUAUGGAGCGAACCAGGGGAACUGAAACAUCUAAGUACCCUGAGGAAAAGAAAUCAACCGAGAUUCCCUUAGUAGUGGCGAGCGAACGGGGACUAGCCCUUAAGUGGCUUUGAGAUUAGCGGAACGCUCUGGAAAGUGCGGCCAUAGUGGGUGAUAGCCCUGUACGCGAAAAUCUCUUAGUCAUGAAAUCGAGUAGGACGGAGCACGAGAAACUUUGUCUGAAUAUGGGGGGACCAUCCUCCAAGGCUAAAUACUACUGACUGACCGAUAGUGAACUAGUACCGUGAGGGAAAGGCGAAAAGAACCCCUGUGAGGGGAGUGAAAUAGAACCUGAAACCGUAUACGUACAAGCAGUGGGAGCAGACUUGUUCUGUGACUGCGUACCUUUUGUAUAAUGGGUCAGCGACUUGGUCUUACGAGCAAGCUUAAACCGAUAGGUGUAUGCGCAGCGAAAGCGAGUCUUAAUAGGGCGACAUGU
rnacentral:rRNA from 1 species